GAGGGUGUAGCUCAAGUGCUAGAGCACAUGCCUAGCAAGCUCAAGGUCCUGGGUUCAAUCCCCAGUACCUCCU
rnacentral:tRNA from 1 species